UACGUAGGGUGCAAGCGUUGUCCGGAAUUAUUGGGCGUAAAGAGCUCGUAGGCGGUCUGUCGCGUCGGCUGUGAAAACUCGGGGCUCAACCCCGAGCCUGCAGUCGAUACGGGCAGACUAGAGUCCGGCAGGGGGAGACUGGAAUUCCUGGUGUAGCGGUGAAAUGCGCAGAUAUCAGGAGGAACACCGGUGGCGAAGGCGGUUCUCUGGGCGAUGUCCUGCGCUGAGGAGCGAAAGUGUGGGGAGCGAACAGG
rnacentral:rRNA from 1 species